rnacentral:rRNA from 1 species
AUGAUUCUGGAUUGGGCGCAGAUCUUCGCGCCGCCACCUCUCCUACUCCUUCUCGUCCUCCUCUCUCUCUCUCCCAUGCCGCCACCAUUGCAAGGAGCAGGGGAGGGUGGCGACCGAGGAUCCCGAGCCCCGGCCCCAGACCCUAGCUGUCGGGGAGCUGGUCUGGGCCAAGACCAAGGGCCGCCACCCGCGCGCCUCCACUCCCCCUCCCAGAAUCCCCCCUCGUCUCCUCUCCCCGCCACCACCGUCAACCCCUUCCUCGCCGCCCACGAUGCCGACGCCCUCACAAGGGCCAACACCGGCCUUGCCUUCGUUCCCCACAAGUUCCUUGACGCCCUCGGCAGCGUGGCCAUCGACGAACCCGCCGUCAGGCUGCUGGACCGCGCCCGGCUUGAGAGCUGGGUCCGGGCGCUCGCCCAGGGAUGGGGCCCCAACCGUCCCGGCCGCUACCGGCGCCACACCAAAGGUGAGCUCAUCGACAAGAUUGACAUUGACAUGCUGGCCGACGAUGGUGCAGCUUCGGAAGAGGAGGAUGAGAAGAAAGAGAGGGUGAGAAGAGUCUAA